rnacentral:rRNA from 1 species
CCUACGGGUGGCAGCAGUAGGGAAUCUUCCACAAUGGGCGAAAGCCUGAUGGAGCAACGCCGCGUGGGUGAAGAAGGUCUUCGGAUCGUAAAGCCCUGUUGUUAGAGAAGAAAGUGCGUGAGAGUAACUGUUCACGUUUCGACGGUAUCUAACCAGAAAGCCACGGCUAACUACGUGCCAGCAGCCGCGGUAAUACGUAGGGGGCAAGCGUUAUCCGGAUUGGUUGGGCGUAAAGGGAACGAAGGCGGUCUUUUAAGUCUGAUGUGAAAGCCUUCGGCUUAACCGGAGUAGUGCAUUGGAAACUGGGAGACUGGAGUGCAGGAGAGGAGAGUGGAACUCCAUGUGUAGCGGUGAAAUGCGUAGAUAUAUGGAAGAACACCAGUGGCGAAAGCGGCUCUCUGGUCUGUAACUGACGCUGAGGUUCGAAAGCGUGGGUAGCAAACAGGAUUAGAUACCCCGGUAGUC